UACAUCAUAGUAAAUAUUUCAUGACUCUGAUGGAGUCUCAAAUAAAUAUAAUAUAUUAAUUUUAUAUAUUUUGUCUACCUGGGUUUGUCACCCUAUGUACUUGAUGCUCCAUAUGCAAAUAGGUUAACGAUCAUGGGUGGUCCAUUUCCUUUUUUGACCCUUUUGGGUGCACACGCACUUUCUCUAUAAGACCAACCUCAUGGUGGUCAAAACGGUGGAAGCAGGAGGACUGCAAUAAUCCUCAUUGAGGAUGAUCUGUCUUCUGCUGUGGGAUUGGGAGCGCUCCGCUAGGAAAUAUCUUUGACCUUCAGCGUUCCAAGGUCCCGCGUCUGAGCAACUGCGUCAUG